rnacentral:rRNA from 1 species
CUCCUACGGGAGGCAGCAGUGGGGAAUAUUGCACAAUGGGGGAAACCCUGAUGCAGCGACGCCGCGUGGAGGAAGAAGGUCUUCGGAUUGUAAACUCCUGUUGUUGGGGAAGAUAAUGACGGUACUCAACAAGGAAGUGACGGCUAACUACGUGCCAGCAGCCGCGGUAAUACGUAGGUGGCAAGCGUUGUCCGGAAUUACUGGGUGUAAAGGGAGUGUAGGCGGGAUGUCAAGUCAGAAGUGAAAAUUACGGGCUCAACUCGUAACCUGCUUUUGAAACUGACAUUCUUGAGUGAAGUAGAGGCAAGCGGAAUUCCUAGUGUAGCGGUGAAAUGCGUAGAUAUUAGGAGGAACACCAGUGGCGAAGGCGGCUUGCUGGGCUUUUACUGACGCUGAGGCUCGAAAGCGUGGGGAGCAAACAGGAUUAGAUACCCUGGUAGUCCACGCCGUAAACGAUGAUUACUAGGUGUGGGGGGAUUGACCCCUUCCG